CUACGGUGAAUACGUUCCCGGACCUUGUACACACCGCCCGUCAAGCCAUGGAAGCUGGGUGUACCUAAAGUCGGUAACCGUAAGGAGCCGCCUAGGGUAAAACUGGUGACUGGGGCU
rnacentral:rRNA from 1 species